rnacentral:rRNA from 1 species
AAGGAAUAUUGGUCAAUGGACGCAAGUCUGAACCAGCCAUGCCGCGUGAAGGAUGAAGGUCCUCUGGAUUGUAAACUUCUUUUAUCUGGGACGAAAACGGGAUUUUUAUCUCAAUUGACGGUACCAGAGGAAUAAGCACCGGCUAACUCCGUGCCAGCAGCCGCGGUAAUACGGAGGGUGCGAGCGUUAUCCGGAUUUACUGGGUUUAAAGGGUGCGUAGGUGGGCUUAUAAGUCAGUGGUGAAAUCUCCGAGCUUAACUUGGAAACUGCCGUUGAUACUAUAGGUCUUGAAUUAUCUGGAGGUAAGCGGAAUAUGUCAUGUAGCGGUGAAAUGCUUAGAUAUGACAUAGAACACCAAUUGCGAAGGCAGCUUGCUACAUAUAAAUUGACGCUGAGGCACGAAAGCGUGGGGAUCAAACA